CCUACGGGCGGCAGCAGUGGGGAAUAUUGGACAAUGGGGGGAACCCUGAUCCAGCCAUGCCGCGUGUGUGAAGAAGGCCCUCGGGUUGUAAAGCACUUUCAGUGAGGAAGAACGCCUGGUGGUUAAUACCCAUCAGGAAAGACAUCACUCACAGAAGAAGCACCGGCUAACUCCGUGCCAGCAGCCGCGGUAAUACGGAGGGUGCGAGCGUUAAUCGGAAUUACUGGGCGUAAAGCGCGCGUAGGUGGCUUGAUAAGCCGGUUGUGAAAGCCCCGGGCUCAACCUGGGAACGGCAUCCGGAACUGUCAAGCUAGAGUGCAGGAGAGGAAGGUAGAAUUCCCGGUGUAGCGGUGAAAUGCGUAGAGGUCGGGAGGAAUACCAGUGGCGAAGGCGGCCUUCUGGACUGACACUGACACUGAGGUGCGAAAGCGUGGGUAGCAAACAGGAUUAGAUACCCUAGUAGUC
rnacentral:rRNA from 1 species